rnacentral:rRNA from 1 species
CCUACGGGAGGCAGCAGUAGGGAAUAUUGCUCAAUGGGGGAAACCCUGAAGCAGCAACGCCGCGUGGAGGAUGAAGGUUUUCGGAUUGUAAACUCCUUUUGGUAGAGAAGAUAAUGACGGUAUCUAACGAAUAAGCACCGGCUAACUCCGUGCCAGCAGCCGCGGUAAUACGGAGGGUGCAAGCGUUACUCGGAAUCACUGGGCGUAAAGGGCGCGUAGGCGGGAUAGCAAGUCAGAUGUGAAAUCCUAUGGCUUAACCAUAGAACUGCAUUUGAAACUGUUAUUCUAGAGUAUGGGAGAGGUAGGUGGAAUUCUUGGUGUAGGGGUAAAAUCCGUAGAGAUCAAGAGGAAUACUCAUUGCGAAGGCGACCUGCUAGAACAUAACUGACGCUGAUGCGCGAAAGCGUGGGGAGCAAACAGGAUUAGAUACCCCAGUAGUC